GGGUAGACAGGAGGUGUGGUCUUGAUGGGAGGUGUCGACUGGGUAGAUGGAGGUGUGAUCUGGGUAGAUGGAGGUGUGGUCUGGGUAGCUGGAGGUGUGGUCUAUGGGUAGUUGGGAGGUGUGGUCUGUGGGUAGUUGGGAGGUGUGGUCUGGAUGGGAGGUGUGGUCUGGGUAGAUGGGAGGUGUGGUCUGGGUAGCUGGAGGUGUGGUCUAUGGGUAGCUGGAGGUGUGGUCUAUGGGUAGUUGGGAGGUGUGGUCUGUGGGUAGAUGGGAGGUGUGGUCUGUGGGUAGAUGGGAGGUGUGGUCUGGGUAGAUGGGAGGUGUGGUCUGUGGGUAGAUGGGAGGUGUGGUCUUGGUAGAUGGGAGGUGUGGUCUGUGGGCAGUGGGGAGGUGUGGUCUUGGUAGAUGGGAGGUGUGGUCUGGGUAGGUGGAGGUGUGGUCUAUGUGUAGUUGGGAGGCAGCCUGCUCAGGGCUUCCUGCAGUGCCUCCCUCUGAGGAAGGUGCAGAACAGCCUGGUGGGGCUGGAGGGGAGGCCCAAGGCAGGGCCUGUGUGGUCUUUCCCGCUCCUUCCCACUGUGAACAUUCCAGCUUCUGGGAAGAAUGGCAUAUGUGAUAGUCUCCCAGUCAGUCCAGCUGAGUCCCCCCUCAGGCCCACAGGCCCAGCAGAGGGCCCCCAAGCCAGGAGCCAGCACCCAUGAUGUAGGCCCUGCACCCCAGGGUGGCAGUGGUGAGAGGCCGCCUUGACUGCUGUGCUGCGAAAAUGCACUCUGUGGGAAAAGCUACGGCUCUGCCAUUUCUGGGCAAGAGCUGCAGGGGGGCCAGCUUGGGGCCAGUUUGGCCUCUCUCCAUUCCCAUAGCUCCCAUCCUCACAGCAUCCCAGAGAAGCAGAACAGGUGGCCCCUGUCCUGCCCUUUCUCACCCAGCGAGGACAAGCUCAGGGAAGGCCAGCCUUGCUGCUGGCCACUGUGUGAGAAGCAGUUGCUCUUUGAGGGCUGUACUGCUGGGGGGGUUGCUGCUGGUAGCUCUCAAAUCCAUUCAAGCAAGAUGCCGUUGCCCUUCCCCUGUGCCGCAGGUCCUCUUGUUUUCAGGGCAUGGCCACAGGGGCUGGCCUGGGUGGGAAGGCCGUAGUGCACCCUGCUUUCAUGUAGAUUUGGGACUUGGGAUGCCCAGAUGGGAGGGUGCACCUGGGCAGGCACGGUCACCUUGCACUGCCUGGGCUGUAGCAGCUCAGUGUCUAGCGGACACUAGCCCUGCACCUGCACCUGGAGUCAGUCCUGAUCAGAGCCGGAGACUGUUGCACCAGGGCUGUGGGUACUGGGAGUCACGCCUGCCACACCCACUCCACCAAGAAGCGUGUAUGUGUGUGUGUGUGUGUGUGUGUGAGAGAGAGAGAGAGAGAGAGUGAGAGUGAGAGCGCGCUUGCUUCUGGCACUGUGAGCCUUAGAGCUUGGCCAGGAGGCUGGGGCUGGGGUGGGGGUGCUGGGCUGGAAGGGGGAAUGUUCUCUGCUGGUCACCAUGGAUGGUUGUGAAGGCUCAGUGGGGCUGAGGUAGGAUGUUGGGGGCUGAUGACAGAAGGUCUUCUCUCCUGCUCAUUGUGAGCCUCAAAGGCUUGGCUGAGGAGGCUACAUGGUGUGGACGCUGUGGUAUUUUCCUUCCUCCUCUGGCCUGCCCUGACCCAUUCCCUUCUUCCCUGUCCCUGUCUGUCUUUCCUCCUUCCCACAGAUGCUUUGCAUCUGAACCAACAGAGGAAGCAACGCGAAUAUUCUCCUCUGGAGAAUUCUUGUCAGGAGCUCUCUGGAAGACAGCAGAUCACAGAGCCUGGCACGGGGUGGGGAGGGAGGAGGUGCAAACCUACGUUGCUGUAAGCAGGGGCUGUGAAAUCAUCCCUGCCCUCUAGAAAUGCCCAUCUGGGGACCAAGGCACUGUCCCUGAGUACCAAAGGAGUCUGAGGACAGAGGGCCACCUGGGCUGCUCGUGGAGGCUCUCUGGGUGCACAGGGAGCUGCAUGGUGCUCCAGAGUGCUCAGGUUAGAAGAGGCUGGGGUGACAGGGGCCUGCCAGAAGCACAGCCUGCAGCCCGACUCCUGUCCCAGCCUUUCCCUGAUCCACUUUGUCUUUGGGGCUGUACACAUGUAGGGCUUACACUCACCUGAUCUUGCUU